rnacentral:rRNA from 4 species
GGCGGCUGUAGCGCGGUGGUCCCACCUGACCCCAUGCCGAACUCAGAAGUGAAACGCCGUAGCGCCGAUGGUAGUGUGGGGCCUCCCCAUGCGAGAGUAGGGAACUGCCAGGC